rnacentral:rRNA from 1 species
GACGAACGCUGGCGGCGUGCCUAAUACAUGCAAGUAGAACGCUGAAGGAGGAGCUUGCUUCUCUGGAUGAGUUGCGAACGGGUGAGUAACGCGUAGGUAACCUGCCUGGUAGCGGGGGAUAACUAUUGGAAACGAUAGCUAAUACCGCAUAACAGUAGAUAUCGCAUGAUAUCUACUAGAAAGGUGCAAUUGCAUCACUACCAGAUGGACCUGCGUUGUAUUAGCUAGUUGGUGAGGUAACGGCUCAACAAGGCGACGAUACAUAGUCGACCUGGGGGGGGGGUCGGCCACACUGGGACUGGGACACGGCCCAAACUCCUACGGGGGGCAGCCGUAGGGGAUCUUCGGCCAUGGGCGGAAGUCUGACCGGGCCACGCCGCGUGAGUGGAGAAGGUUUUCGGGUCGUAAAACUCUGUUGUAAGGGAAGAACGAGUGUGGGAGUGGAAAGUUCACACUGUGACGGUAUCUUACCAGAAAGGGACGGCUAACUACGUG